rnacentral:tRNA from 1 species
GCCGGUGUAGCUCAGUGGCAGAGCAACCGCCUUGUAAGCGGUAGGUCGUCGGUUCGACCCCGACCACCGGCUCCA